rnacentral:rRNA from 1 species
GAUGAACGCUGGCGGCGUGCCUAAUACAUGCAAGUCGAGCGAACGGACGAGAAGCUUGCUUCUCUGAUGUUAGCGGCGGACGGGUGAGUAACACGUGGAUAACCUACCUAUAAUACUGGGAUAACUUCGGGAAACCGGAGCUAAUACCGGAUAAUAUUUUGAACCGCAUGGUUCAAAAGUGAAAGACGGUCUUGCUGUCACUUAUAGAUGGAUCCGCGCUGCAUUAGCUAGUUGGUAAGGUAACGGCUUACCAAGGCAACGAUGCAUAGCCGACCUGAGAGGAUGAUCGGCCACACUGGAACUGAGACACGGUCCAGACUCCUACGGGAGGCAGCAGUAGGGAAUCUUCCGCAAUGGGCGAAAGCCUGACGGAGCCACGCCGCGUGAGUGAUGAAGGUCUUCGGAUCGUAAAACUCUGUUAUUAGGGAAGAACAUAUGUGUAAGUAACUGUGCACAUCUUGACGGUACCUAAUCAGAAAGCCACGGCUAACUACGUG